AAAUUCCAGACCAACACUUCGUGUGCAAGAAAAUCUUAGCAAAUUCUUACAUCGGACAAAAGAUUAUCUACGAUGGCAGACAAGAAGACACCUGCUAUCAUCUUGUCUUUUAUGUAUUCACCAAAAAAAAACUCCUACAAAUAAAUGAUAGGCUACGUUUUCUUCCUUUCCCCCUCCCCUCCCCCCCCUCUCUUUCUUCGCUCUUUCUUAAAGGAAAUGAGAAGAUCCCAUCAUUUUCUCCUCCUUUUCUCUGUUUUCAUUUUUGUUGUUGGACUAUCAAAAGCUGAUCAAUCAAUAAUCAGCCACCAUUUUUGUAGGAGAAGAAGACACCUGCCCAUCAUUUUUGUUGUUGGAUAUGUGUAUGCGAGGGCAGAGGAGAGUGAGAAGGAAGGUUUAAUUAUAAUUGGAGGGUGUUCAAGAGGAAGAAAAGAAGGGAGAAUUGGGGCAUGAUUGUGUUCGUUCAUAUUGCUAGGGAAUGGAGGAUAUUAACAAGGUAAUAUUGGAAAAUUAAGUCAAAAUUGCACUCAGUUAAUUAUCUUCCUCUUUAACGAUCCAAUUUGAGUUUUCGGAAAUCCUUUUGGAUGUAGGUGGAAUAGAGUUAUUAAGGGUCAUUCUUAUUUUUCUUUCUUUCCCCUGGAAACUCUCUUAUUUGUGGCGUAAGUGGUGUGCUUCAUCUUGUUUUACCUGAUCUAUGCACCAAGGGUGGAUGAUCCAUCGACAAGAACAUUUGAACAGUGUUCCUCCGAUUCAUUUCAGAUAUCUGGACCGUGUGGAUAUCAGAUAUGCUAUGUCUAUCUCUACAGAAGCGGACCAGAGGGUUGGAAGCCUGACACCCUGAGGAUUUCUGGUUAUUAUUCGAGGACUGUUACUUUCACCUACAAUACCUACAUCCCCAGAGAUGUUUGGUACGGAUUUAAUUUGUGCCACAAUGCCUCUUCUGCACUUCAGAGAGGAAUUCCGCAAUGGUUUUUGUACAUGAUCCUUGCUGUUCUUGCUAGUUUUAUAUUGCAAGUCUAAACAAAUAAGAAGCAGCACAUUGUAGGUUGCUGGGACAAUUAGCAACUUACGGUUCUUGCUGGUUUUUUUUAUUGCAAGUCCAAACAAAUGACAGGCAGCACAUUGGUGGCUUCUGGGACAAUUGCUAGCAAAUUAUCGUCAGUGGCAUGUUGCAGAAGACUAGGAAAAAUAUUAGUACUGGAAAUGUGGCGAACCGUUUCCAUAUUUCUAAUAUGGUGUGACGUUGUAACUACCCACUAUCGUUCUGAGAGGAUUCAAGGAGCAAAGAACAAUAGCCUGUGUAGGCUGGACUGGUGACAACUCAAGAGAGAGAGAGAUAGGUUCAGAAAGUUCUGAAAGGUGUUUGUUAUUUUGUUUCUUAAUUGAUCGAUGAAUGCUCAAUACGCCUUGGUUAUAUGUAUAGACUUGUAUCUAUAGUUUAGAUCCGG